rnacentral:tRNA from 1 species
GCGGGUAUCGUAUAGUGGUUAUUAUAUCAGUUUUCCAAACUGAGGAGACGAGUUCGAUUCUCGUUACCCGCU